AAAGUUUAUCCAGGGGCUUAUUUACAAACAUUUCAAAACGUCAAGGACCAGAUCAUAAAUAGCAGUUGAUGGGAAAACGGAGCCGUUUCUUGGACAAAACUAUUCACUGUCUUCUUCCUCCGUUUCAUCGGUUUCCAGCCAACGCUUAAGUUUCAGCAUUGAAGGCACUUAAAGGGUCGGUUACACUGGGCAUUUAGGAGGCUUGCCGUUACCACCGAUUGUGGUCUUAUAAAAGGAGGAGUCGCAGCCAAC
rnacentral:lncRNA from 1 species